UCACUUUCAGUUUUAUAAAAAAGUUUAUUAAACUUUUAAUUGUUGUUGAUGCGGUGUAUUUGUUACUGCGCGUGCCGUAAAGCAUCCGGCAUGUUAACGUUACUGAGGUGAUGUUAAGCAGCUGUGAUGACGUUAAAUCUGAAGUGUUCUACAACUGUGUUUAGAGCGCUGUGUGCCUCCAACAGAAGCUGGCAGAGCAAUUGUCAAGAAAAGAAGAUACCAUUACGACUUUUUUUUUAUUCUUUAAAAGAGAUUAUACGACUAGGUGAAGAUCUGACAUCGCGGAAUUCUUCAAGGAUAACGCAACUUUUCUGCCAAACGAGGUCGUAAGUGUAUUGUGCAUCCCAAGUACCCCCUGCAUUCUUAUCAAGGUCUUCCUGUGAAGAAAUCCUGAACGAGGGUCGACGGUUCAGAUGAAGGGAACCUAUGCUUCCAAGACUCAUGUAUGAACAACUUCGAGAAUCCAUGUACAAUUUGAGCUUUUUUCAAAUCUCAACAUGGAACUUGGACUGAACAUGCAGCAAAAGGAAAAAAAAAAAAUUAGUAGUUUCCCCAAGCUGGCACAUGGCAAGAGAUACUAAAAGCACACAAACACUUGGAGCCCCGUUCUUAAUUUAGAUUGUAUAGUUCUCUUAGUUUCACAUUGACAUGUUAGGCAUGAGUGCAUGAAUCUUUGUUCUUUAUUUUCAAAUGAUGUACAAGAGUUUUUUUUUUGUUGUUGUUGUUUUUUGCAGUACCAUGUCAAUUGUAGAUGACAGAAUUCACAAUUUUGAUGUGAACUGUCCUUUUAAAUAACAUUUCACUUGACUACUGACUAGAAGUCUGUAGCAAUUGUUAUUAAUUACAGCCCUGUCUUUGUAUAAUUUUUUUCCCAUGUAUCUGAAAAUGUUUUGAAUCUUGACUGUUUCACUGUGAAGUUUAUCUUUGUGACCACUAUUUGGUGCAACACCAAUAUUGUACAAGUAGCUGCUUGUGUUUUCUUUUUUCUGCCUGGUGCUGUUUAAAACUAAAACACAUUGUUAAAUUAAUUGAUGUAAUAAUAUUUUUGUCUUCACCUGUUAAAGGCAAAUAAAAGCUACUGAACGCACUUUUAAGAAUGUUUACAUGAGGUAAAAAUAAACCAUGUUCAAUUUGUAUAUAUUGUGCUGGAUUUAUUUGCUGCUGAAGAUAGGCCUAUGCUAUAAUUAUUUAGAAAUUUCUGCAAAACGGAUUGUCCGUUUAUGGUACAGAAGAAAAUGUAAAUCUACAGAAUUUUCCUUUUUAAUGUUGAAGGAAAUGUCUGUAAAUUUAAC